rnacentral:rRNA from 1 species
CGACCGGCAAACGGGUGCGGAACACGUACACAACUUUCCUUUAAGUGGGGGAUAGCCCAGAGAAAUUUGGAUUAAUACCCCGUAAUAUUAUGAAGUGGCAUCAUUUUAUAAUUAUAGCUCCGGCGCUUGAAGAUGGGUGUGCGGCUGAUUAGGUAGUUGGCAGGGUAAUGGCCCACCAAGGCUUUGAUCGGUAGCCGGCCUGAGAGGGCGCACGGCCACACUGGAACUGAAACACGGUCCAG